rnacentral:tRNA from 1 species
GAAAGUAUAGCUCAAGUGGUAGAGCACAUGCUUAGCAUGCACAAGGUCCUGGGUUCAAUCCCCAGUACCUCCU